UGUGUACUUUCGCCGCGUGCGGUCGAAACCGAAACGACUCAAUAACGACUUAAAACCUUAUAGUCUUUCUUAGUGUUAAUUAUUAGCAAAACGUAUUAUUUAUACAUUACAAGUGCGUAAUAGACUCACGAUGCCGAUAAGGCCGCCGCCGGGGCCGAUCAGGCAGGUAGUCUAAAAAAGUGUCGAGCAAGGUCGCGAACAAGACAAAGAGGACUCCACGUGCACCAGCAGCGCGUCUGAUAGCGACUCGGAGCGCGAGGGACCGCCACGAAAGAAAAGGAAACGAGUAGCACAGGUAACGGUCGAUCCCAUGAUCGACGCGUUAUAUAAUCAGCAGAUAACAAACACGUCUUCAUUAUACAAUGCUGUAUGUUUUCCGGAGGCACAUCAAUAUGACGGUUUUACAUAACAAUAAAACCGAUAUUAUGUGCCGAGAAGGAAAACAUACAGCAUUGUAGGAAGCUCUUCCUGGUGAAGACUCUAUGACUGUGGAAAUGACAACGUCCUAGCUGGUUAAGAUAAGUAUGAAGUUGAGGCGAUUACAGCGCCAUCUAUUCUAUCUAAGCUGAACUAUUUCACUCGGUAUGUAUCGCACUUCAUGGCUAAGUAUACAUUGCUUCUUCAUUAUACAAUGCUGUAUGUUUUCCUUCUCGGCACAUAAUAUCGGUUUUAUUGUUAUGUAAAACCGUCAUAUUAU